GCACCGAUGGUGAAGCGGUUAUCAUACUUGCCUUCCAUGGAUGCAUGUGCCCGCAUUAAAUGGUAGCAAGCGGAAGGGGUUCGACUCCCGUUCGGUGUA